GCAAAUAGUUAAAUGUUAUAGCUCACCAAAAUGAGUUUUUCUAUUCAAUUCAAUUGUCUACACCAUUUCAUUAGAGAUGCUUAUGCCCUAGGAAUAUGUUUGAUAAACUUCAAUAUAAAAGUGAACAUGGCACGCCUAACAAGAAGUUUAACAAGAAAUGAGGUUUUUUCGACCAAAAAGAGAAAGAAAAAAAAAAAGGAAAGAACAUGGCACGCCUAACUAAAUAAUGAUUUAUUUAGACUUACAUACCAACGUGUUAAACGGAAACCUGAAUUAAACUAAAAAAAAUUAUUCAUCAAAUUUAAAAAAAAAAAAAAAAAAAGUAAAAACCAAAGAAACAGAAAGAAAAACCUACAUUAAAAAUAUGAAUUAACCACGAUUAAUUCGUGGAUUUGCGUGGUCGUAACCUUAGAUUUUUUGUAUUUAUUGACUUAUUUUUUAUUGCUUCGUACUAAGGAUUACAAUCGCAAACUUGGACCUUUUGGCAAGCUAGGAAGGCAGGCCAGCAUUGAGGUCGUAACUUCCAAAACAAUUUCCUUGUAAUUUACACAUAUAUAUAAUUAAUAGCUCCACCUCCAUGAGUAUGAAGCUAAAUGUCAACCAUUAAAUCUUAAUCCAACAGUUGAUAUAUGGCCAUGAAUUUUGGCCAAGAAUUAACAAUAAUAUAAAUUAAUACAGAGAGAAUAUUGGAAGUACGUAUCUGUUUUCCUACGUACGUAAGCUAGAAGAUAAUGAUAAAAGAAAGAAAAGUGGAAAAUAAGUCCAAACUUUGAAAUAUAUGUCCCCGCACAAUGAACCCAUAAAUAGUCAUUAUGCAUUUAGAUAUAAAAUAUGUUUUGGUUGAGUGAACCGGGACAUAGAGAGAAUAGUCAGGGGUUUGACGGAGACAGAGGCUACAGCCACCUAACCUAAAUAUCUGUUUGCCGAGGUACCACUACUACUACUACUUCUCUUCUCCAUCAUUUUUAUUUCAUUUUCCUUCACAUUUCGCUUUCACAUCCAUUCUAGUCCUCUUAUUUUAACCUAGAAACCAAUCCAUCUGUCCCAACACCUUCACGCUCAUCAAGUCCUCUUGCCUCAGAAGCUCCGGCAAGCUUGCUUUACGUCGAGAGUUUUGUCCUCAAUCGGAAAGUAAACAACUAUACCACAGUCAGCCAGGCGUACGUUUCGAUGCUACAACCAUCGACGGCGACUACGCUACAUGAAUUGGAUUCAUGGGUGGUGUAUGUACUUCCUCCAAGAGACUAGUCAACGACAAUAUAGGUGUGUGCAGAGUUUGAUGUUGAGGUACUUUAGCAUCAUAUCGGUCAUGUUUUUGAUCGUUUUGACUGUGUUUCUUGUGGUACUACCGCUGCUUUUGCCACCACUACCACCACCGCCUUUAGUGCUUCUCUUUAUUCCGGUUCUGAUCAUGGCAGUUCUCAUUUUACUGGCGUUUUCUCAUUUGUCGCAAGUUCCAAAUAUGGCCGUCGUUUCUGUUUGAUAUAUGAGUAUAAAUGAUGAGGCAGGUUUCAACAUUUCAUAUUCCAUGUUAUAAAACCCCCUCAACCUUUAAUUUCUUUUAUUUUAUCUGAAAAUAUAUCUAAUGUAUAUUAUUAAACAUGUUGAGAGUAAUGUAAAAAAAAAAAAAAGCAAAUUCAACAAUAUACGUGUCAAGAAAUAUAUUCUCAGAACUUCUUUUC